GACACGGUCCAGACACCUACGGGUGGCAGCAGUCGAGAAUCAUUCACAAUGGGGGCAACCCUGAUGGUGCAACGCCGCGUGGAGGAUGAAGGCCCUAGGGUCGUAAACUCCUGUCAUGUGAGAGUAAGGCAUAGUCGGUUAAGAGCUAACUAUGUUUGAUAGUAUCACAAGAGGAAGGGACGGCUAACUUCGUGCCAGCAGCCGCGGUAAUACGAAGGUCCCGAGCGUUAUUCGGAAUCACUGGGCGUAAAGAGUACGUAGGCGGUUUGGUAAGUCAGGUGUGAAAUCCCGGAGCUCAACUCCGGAACUGCAUCCGAUACUGCUAGACUAGAGUAAUGGAGAGGCAGGUGGAAUUCUCGGUGUAGCAGUGAAAUGCGUGGAUAUCGAGAGGAAGACCAAUGGCGAAGGCAGCCUGCUGGACAUUUACUGACGCUGAGGUACGAAGGCCAGGGUAGCGAAAGGGAUUAGAUACCCCUGUAGUCCUGGCAGUAAACGGUGCGCGCUUGGUGUAGGAGGACUCGACCCCUUCUGUGCCGGAGCUAACGCGUUAAGCGCGCCGCCUGGGGAGUACGGUCGCAAGACUAAAACUCAAAGAAAUUGACGGGGACCCGCACAAGCGGUGGAGUAUGUGGCUUAAUUCGAUGCAACGCGAAGAACCUUACCCAGACUUGACAUGUAUUGCUAAACCGGUGAAAGCCGGGGACCCUUCGGGGACCUUACACAGGUGCUGCAUGGCCGUCGUCAGCUCGUGUCGUGAGAUGUUUGGUUAAGUCCAGCAACGAGCGCAACCCCUGUGAAUAGUUGCCAGCACGUAAUGGUGGGGACUCUAUUCAGACCGCCCGGGUCAACCGGGAGGAAGGUGGGGAUGACGUCAGGUCAGUAUGGCCCUUACGUCUGGGGCUGCACACGUACUACAAUGCCCAGUACAAUGAGAACCGAGACCGCGAGGUGGAGGAAAUCUAUAAAACUGGGCCCAGUUCGGAUUGGAGGCUGCAACUCGCCUCCAUGAAGUCGGAAUCGCUAGUAAUGGCACAUCAGCUACGGUGCCGUGAAUACGUUCCCGGGUCUUGUACACACCGCCCGUCACAUCAUGGAAGCCGGUCGCACCCGAAGUGUCUGCGUCAACAAUGGCAGGGCCCUAAGGUGUAGCUGGUAACUGGGAUGAAGUCGUAACAAGGUAGCCGUAGGGGAACCUGCGGCUG
rnacentral:rRNA from 1 species